rnacentral:rRNA from 1 species
GAUGAACGCUAGCUACAGGCUUAACACAUGCAAGUCGAGGGGCAUCAGGAAGGAAGCUUGCUUUCUUCGCUGGCGACCGGCGCACGGGUGAGUAACACGUAUCCAACCUGCCGAUGACUCGGGGAUAGCCUUUCGAAAGAAAGAUUAAUACCCGAUGGCAUAGUUCUUCCGCAUGGUAGGACUAUUAAAGAAUUUCGGUCAUCGAUGGGGAUGCGUUCCAUUAGCUUGUUGGCGGGGUAACGGCCCACCAAGGCAUCGAUGGAUAGGGGUUCUGAGAGGAAGGUCCCCCACAUUGGAACUGAGACACGGUCCAA